rnacentral:rRNA from 1 species
GUGGCGGACGGGUGAGUAACACGUGAGAAUUUGCCUUUAGGAGGGGGAUAACAGAGUGAAAACGCUGCUAAUACCCCAUAUGCUUUCGAGUGAAAUGGAUUUAUUCGCCUAAAGAGAAGCUCGCGGCUGAUUAGCUUGUUGGUAAGGUAAUGGCUUACCAAGGCGACGAUCAGUAUCUGGUUUGAGAGGACGAUCAGACACACUGGAACUGAGACACGGUCCAGACUCCUACGGGAGGCAGCAGUGGGGAAUUUUCCGCAAUGGGCGAAAGCCUGACGGAGCAAUACCGCGUGAGGGAUGACUGCCUAUGGGUUGUAAACCUCUUUUCUCAGGGAGGAAAUCAAUGACGUUACCUGAGGAAUAAGCAUCGGCUAACUCCGUGCCAGCAGCCGCGGUAAGACGGAGGAUGCAAGUGUUAUCCGGAAUCACUGGGCGUAAAGCGUCUGUAGGUGGCUUAACAAGUCAACUGUUAAAUCUUGAAGCUCAACUUCGAAAUCGCAGUCGAAACUGUUAGGCUAGAGUAUAGUAGGGGUAAAGGGAAUUUCCAGUGGAGCGGUGAAAUGCGUAGAGAUUGGA